AAAAUUCCCUAUAUAAGGAGAUAACAGUCUCCUAAGAAAAAACAGUGUCUUGAAGAGUCUCUUGAAUACAGUCUCUAAGGAGGCUUUUGGGAGAGAGCUCUGGAAACAGGCUCUUGGGACAGUCUCUGGCUGGAAAUCCCUUUGAGGAGGACUCUGGCUGGAACUCCCUCUAAGGAGACUCUGUCUCUCCCGCUCAGCUGGGAAAUUUGAAUUGCAGCUGGUGCCUCUCUGAUCACUAGAAUCCUUGCUUGGACAGAUCUUGUGGUCCCUUCCCCCACAAAGAAGGAAACAAAAGCAUAAAAAAAGAAGAGGACCAUUAGAAGUACAUAAAAGAAGAGCUUUCUUUCUCUGGGUGUGGAUCAUGUUCUUUCUCAUUAAUCCCUCAGAAUUGUCCUGGAUCAUUGUA
rnacentral:lncRNA from 1 species